rnacentral:rRNA from 1 species
GACGAACGCUGGCGGCGUGCCUAAUACAUGCAAGUAGAACGCUGAAGGAGGAGCUUGCUUCUCUGGAUGAGUUGCGAACGGGUGAGUAACGCGUAGGUAACCUGCCUGGUAGCGGGGGAUAACUAUUGGAAACGAUAGCUAAUACCGCAUAAUAGUAGAUGUUGCAUGACAUUUGCUUAAAAGGUGCAAUUGCAUCACUACCAGAUGGACCUGCGUUGUAUUAGCUAGUUGGUGGGGUAACGGCUCACCAAGGCGACGAUACAUAGCCGACCUGAGAGGGUGAUCGGCCACACUGGGACUGAGACACGGCCCAGACUCCUACGGGAGGCAGCAGUAGGGAAUCUUCGGCAAUGGACGGAAGUCUGACCGAGCAACGCCGCGUGAGUGAAGAAGGUUUUCGGAUCGUAAAGCUCUGUUGUAAGAGAAGAACGAGUGUGAGAGUGGAAAGUUCACACUGGGACGGUAUCUUACCAGAAAGGGACGGCUAACUACGU